CUGCAUGCCUACGGAUAUGGUUGAUUUAUGAUGAAUCUUCCCCUUAACAGCGCGAACCUCAAGAUCCUCUGAGGCACUUCAUUUUAUGGCCUCAAUCGUGCAGUCUGGUCAGAGCCUACCAAGACAGCUAUUCCGACCACGAAACCUUGCAUCACCUCAUAGCGUACAGCGUAGUUCCAGUUGAGACCACGAAACCUUGCAUCACCUCAUAGCGUACAGCGUAGUUCCAGAUGAGACCACAACCUAGCAUCACCUCAUAGCGUACAGCGUAGUUCAAGAUCAGACCGCGAAACCUUGCAUCACCUCAUAGCGUACAGCGUAGUUCCAGAUGAGACCACGAAACCUUGCAUCACCUCAUAGCGUACAGCGUAGUUCCAGAUGAGACCACGAAACCUUGCAUCACCUCAUAGCGUACAGCGUAGUUCCAGAUGAGACCACGAAACCUUGCAUCACCUCAUAGCGUACAGCGUAGUUCCAGAUGAGACCACGAAACCUUGCAUCACCUCAUAGCGUACUGCGUAGUUCAAGAUCAGACCGCGAAACCUUGCAUCACCUCAUAGCGUACAGCGUAGUUCCAGAUCAGACCACGAAACCUUGCAUCACCUCAUAGCGUACAGCGUAGUUCCAGAUGAGACCACGAAACCUUGCAUCACCUCAUAGCGUACAGCGUAGUUCCAGAUCAGACCGCGCGAUUGCGCAUGCUGGUAUGCAGCUGCACUGGCCGCAUUCUUCAAAAGAGCAAAUUUGCCCCGUCUGACGAUCAACGUUGAGAAGGGCUACCAACCGGAAGCGGGCGAUCCCGACACGGACGAUGAGGUCCCUGACGUUAGCAGACGGGUCAGAUGAUUCAGAUGAGUCAGAGGACAAUUGACGUCACAGAGGCUCGAGGUCAUCAGAAACCUCGCAGUGUGAUGAUACAGUGGAUCAGUAAAGAUUUAGUAUAACGAAUGUCAUAAUUCCGUCUCAGCUUGUUUUUUUUUUCACAUUGCGUCUUUACAUCAAGUUGACUGUUUUUGUUUUUUUAUAAAUAUUUCAAGCCUUUAAUGUAUAAUUAUAUACUAAUUGUUUUGUAAUUCGAGUGCAGUUUGUACAAGAAACACAAUAAUUCAUUUGCAUUCUCACAUCAUUUUUGGAUUUGAGGUAAAACUCUGUCAAUUCGUACAUGAAUACAAACAGUUUCAUAAGUAUGUUGGUGCCGAUGCGGAUGUUAACACAAAAUCGUGCCCAAAAAUUCGUUCAUGUACUCAAUCCCUAUACAAAUAUUGUAAGGAGACAAAAAUAUAGAGAAAAAUGUCCAGUUUGAAUUUCAAACAAGAAAACCAUACGGUAUUGGCUUUGCAUUGGUACUCGUCUUUCGAUGGAUGCGAUGUGACCGCAUUAUACGUGUAAAUGUACAGGUCAAAUAUGCUAUCAAUUAGGAACUGUAUAAUUUAUCUUAAUAAUCAUUGACUUCGAUUAUCAACGCCAAAUUUACGAGGGCCAUAGUAAAUAUAUCGGAAAAUAUUAAAAUGGAGUCCUGGCAAACAUAACUUACCAAAACUAUUUAAUUUUUAUUUUGCAAUAUCAUAUAUUUUUAACACUGUUAGUAAAUCUUUAUAUUUUGUUUCAGCUCAAAUAACUUGUUUGUACUUUUUUUUAGUAUGUAUUGUUUAUGUAACCUUACGUUUUCAAUUGUGUAUAUGCAUGUUGUACGGGUUAUAUUAACACUGAAUAAUUGGCCUAUUUAGAAUGUAUGUAUGAGUCGGUUGUAAGUCUGUCAAGACUUAUAUAUUUAUUCUUUAUUAUAGUCUCUUCCAAUAUAAUACAAUUUUCACAAUGUUCAAUGUAAAUUAAAAGCAUAAUUAUAAUCAUAAUAUUGGUCAUGCAAUUUAUGAAUUAUAAGAUACAUUUCACUUUACAAAACUAUCAUUUUUACAUUAUAAAAGUUAGAUUACAACUCUUAAUCUUAUCUAAAAAUGCCAUAAGAUUUCCAGUUAAAAACUGAAAUUUGUAUAUGUGGCACUAGCGCCUAAGAUUAUAAAUGUCCUAAACGAGCCUUUAUCAGCCAUGGUCAGACCAUGAGUGAACUGGUUAAUGGUGAUAAUCUAAUCUUGGAUAAAAUGUUACAAUAGCCUUUUAAAUCAGAUUUCAAAUUUUGUACAAUAAAACAUUAUUUCUAUUUAAAAUCUCACUGUUCCAUGAUAUUCAGAUAUUUUCAUUGAUCAUAAUGUCAAUUAACAGUGCAUAUUUACACUAUAGUGUAGGUCUUUAUCUAUAGAUGUAUGUAUUAAUCAACAGAUUCACCUAUAUUUCCAACAAGGUCAGCCAGCAUUAUUGAACAUAUGGACAAUUUUGAUUUAUUAUUGGUUUUGACCUUAAUAAUAUAAAUAUGUUAUGUUUUAACUAAAUGAGCCGCGUUCUGAGAAAACUGGACAUAAUGCAUGUGCGUAAAGUGUCAUCCCAGAUUAGCCUGUGCAGUAUGCACAGGCUAAUCAGGGACGACACUUUCCGCCUAAACUUGAUUAUCGGCAAGGAGAGACUUCCUUGAAACUAAAAAUACCAUAAAAGCGGAAAGUGUCGUCCCUGAUUAGCCUGUGCGGACUGCACGGGCUAAUCUGGGACGACACUUUACGCACAUGCAUUAAGCCCAAUUUUCUCAGAACAAGACACAAAUAGUUGACUCUGAGCAAACUUUAUCUACACUCUGAAGUAUGUAAGCCAACAGCUUGCCCUGCUUAAUAAACAUGUAAAUUGUCUAUAACUCUGAAUUUGUUAUCUAACAUUGGUAAAAGCAUAUAAAACAUAAUGAUAAUUACUAAAUAUGGUACAUAAUUUUGAACUUUAAUCUAGUAUAAGGUAGUAGGAUUUUGCAGCUUAACAAUAUUAAAAUUGGAAAGAAUGAAUUUGAGUUUGUAGCAAUCACUUAAAUUUUGAAACCCGUUAUGUAUCUGACUAGCUUUUCUAAACAAAGAAUCUAUAAUUUCUGUGUAAAGACUUAUAACAAUAAAAUGUAUAGAACAAGGA